ACUUCGGUGGGGAUUAGUGGCGAACGGGUGAGUAACACGUGGGCAAUCUGCCCUGCACUCUGGGACAAGCCCUGGAAACGGGGUCUAAUACCGGAUACUGAACCUUGCAGGCAUCUGUGAGGGUCGAAAGCUCCGGCGGUGCAGGAUGAGCCCGCGGCCUAUCAGCUAGUUGGUGAGGUAAUGGCUCACCAAGGCGACGACGGGUAGCCGGCCUGAGAGGGCGACCGGCCACACUGGGACUGAGACACGGCCCAGACUCCUACGGGAGGCAGCAGUGGGGAAUAUUGCACAAUGGGCGAAAGCCUGAUGCAGCGACGCCGCGUGAGGGAUGACGGCCUUCGGGUUGUAAACCUCUUUCAGCAGGGAAGAAGCGAAAGUGACGGUACCUGCAGAAGAAGCGCCGGCUAACUACGUGCCAGCAGCCGCGGUAAUACGUAGGGCGCAAGCGUUGUCCGGAAUUAUUGGGCGUAAAGAGCUCGUAGGCGGCUUGUCGCGUCGGUUGUGAAAGCCCGGGGCUUAACCCCGGGUCUGCAGUCGAUACGGGCAGGCUAGAGUUCGGUAGGGGAGAUCGGAAUUCCUGGUGUAGCGGUGAAAUGCGCAGAUAUCAGGAGGAACACCGGUGGCGAAGGCGGAUCUCUGGGCCGAUACUGACGCUGAGGAGCGAAAGCGUGGGGAGCGAACAGGAUUAGAUACCCUGGUAGUCCACGCCGUAAACGGUGGGCACUAGGUGUGGGCAACAUUCCACGUUGUCCGUGCCGCAGCUAACGCAUUAAGUGCCCCGCCUGGGGAGUACGGCCGCAAGGCUAAAACUCAAAGGAAUUGACGGGGGGCCCGCACAAGCGGCGGAGCAUGUGGCUUAAUUCGACGCAACGCGAAGAACCUUACCAAGGCUUGACAUACACCGGAAACGGCCAGAGAUGGUCGCCCCCUUGUGGUCGGUGUACAGGUGGUGCAUGGCUGUCGUCAGCUCGUGUCGUGAGAUGUUGGGUUAAGUCCCGCAACGAGCGCAACCCUUGUCCCGUGUUGCCAGCAGGCCCUUGUGGUGCUGGGGACUCACGGGAGACCGCCGGGGUCAACUCGGAGGAAGGUGGGGACGACGUCAAGUCAUCAUGCCCCUUAUGUCUUGGGCUGCACACGUGCUACAAUGGCCGGUACAAUGAGCUGCGAUACCGCAAGGUGGAGCGAAUCUCAAAAAGCCGGUCUCAGUUCGGAUUGGGGUCUGCAACUCGACCCCAUGAAGUCGGAGUCGCUAGUAAUCGCAGAUCAGCAUUGCUGCGGUGAAUACGUUCCCGGGCCUUGUACACACCGCCCGUCACGUCACGAAAGUCGGUAACACCCGAAGCCGGUGGCCCAACCCCUUGUGGGAGGGAG
rnacentral:rRNA from 1 species